rnacentral:lncRNA from 1 species
UGUGUAUUAGCUCUAAGUUCUUUCGGUCCGUUUUUAUGAUUCCCGACUUUGCGUAUUAGCUCAAAGUUCUUUCGGUUCGUUUUUAUGAUCCCCGACUUUGCGUAUUAGCUCUAAGUUCUUUCAGUCCGUUUUUAUGAUCCCCGAUUUUGCGUAUUAUCUCUAAGUUCUUUCGGUCCGUUCUUAUGAUCCCCGACUUUGUGUAUUAGCUCUAAGUUCUUUCGGUCCGUUUUUAUGAUUCCCGACUUUGCGUAUUAGCUCUAAGUUCUUUCGGUCCGUUUUUAUGAUCCCCGACUUUGCGUAUUAGCUCUAAGUUCUUUCAGUCCGUUUUUAUGAUCCCUGAAUUUGCGUACUAGCUCUAAAUUCUUUCAUUCCGUUUUUAUGAUCCCCGACUUUGCGUAUUAGCUCUAAGUUCUUUCGUUCGUUUUUAUGAUCCCCGACUUUGCGAAUUAGCUCUAAGUUCUUUCGGUCUGUUUUUAUGAUCCCCGACUUUGCGUAUAUGCUCUAAGUUCUUUUGGUCGUUUCAUGAUCCCCGACUUUGCGUAUUAGCUCUAAGUUCUUUAGGUCCGUUUUUAUGAUCCCUGACUUUGCGUAUUAGCUCUAAGUUCUUUCGGUCCGUUUUUAUGAUCUCCUACUUUGCGUAUUAGCUCUAAGUUCUUUCAGUCCGUUUUUAUGAUCCCUGAGUUUGCGUAUUAGCUCUAAGUUCUUUCAUUCCGUUUUUAUGAUCCCCGACUUUGCGUAUUAGCUCUAAGUUCUUAUGUUCGCUUUUAUGAUCCCCGACUUUGCGAAUUAGCUCUAAGUUCUUUCGGUCGUUUUUAUGAUCCCCGACUUUGCGUAUUAGCUCUAAGUUCUUUCGGUCGUUUUUAUGAUCCCUGACUUUGCGUAUUAGCUCUAAGUUCUUUCGGUCUGUUUUUAUGAUCCCGGACUUUGCGUAUUAGCUCUAAUUUCUUUCAGUCGGUUUUACGAUCCCCGACUUUGCGUAUUAGCUCUACGUUCUUUUGGUCCGUUUUUAUGAUCCCCGACUUUGCGUAUUAGCUCUAAGUUCUUUCGGUGGUUUU